UAGCUUGCUACUUUGCUGACGAGCGGCGGACGGGUGAGUAAUGCUUGGGAACAUGCCUUGAGGUGGGGGACAACAGUUGGAAACGACUGCUAAUACCGCAUAAUGUCUACGGACCAAAGGGGGCUUCGGCUCUCGCCUUUAGAUUGGCCCAAGUGGGAUUAGCUAGUUGGUGAGGUAAUGGCUCACCAAGGCGACGAUCCCUAGCUGGUUUGAGAGGAUGAUCAGCCACACUGGGACUGAGACACGGCCCAGACUCCUACGGGAGGCAGCAGUGGGGAAUAUUGCACAAUGGGCGCAAGCCUGAUGCAGCCAUGCCGCGUGUGUGAAGAAGGCCUUCGGGUUGUAAAGCACUUUCAGUCAGGAGGAAAGGUUAGUAGUUAAUACCUGCUAGCUGUGACGUUACUGACAGAAGAAGCACCGGCUAACUCCGUGCCAGCAGCCGCGGUAAUACGGAGGGUGCGAGCGUUAAUCGGAAUUACUGGGCGUAAAGCGUACGCAGGCGGUUUGUUAAGCGAGAUGUGAAAGCCCCGGGCUCAACCUGGGAACUGCAUUUCGAACUGGCAAACUAGAGUGUGAUAG
rnacentral:rRNA from 1 species